UGCUUGCUUUGGCAGCACUUACCUAAAAUUGAAUCAAUAGAGAGAAGAUUAGCAUGCCCCGUGUACAAGGAUGACAUGUGAUGUUCCAUGACAUGAUAUGUUCCAUGUUUUU
rnacentral:snRNA from 1 species